UACAGAGGGUGCAAACGUUGUUCGGAAUCACUGGGCAUAAAGCGCACGUAGGCUGUCCCGUAAGUGUGGAGUGAAAUCCCACGGCUUAACCGUGGAACUGCUUGGCAUACUGCGGGACUCGAGGACGGUAGGGGAGAGCGGAACAAGUGGUGGAGCGGUGAAAUGCGUAGAUAUCACUUGGAACGCCAACGGUGAAAACAGCUCGCUGGGGAUGUGCUGACGCUGAGACACGAAAGCCAGGGGAGCGAACGGG
rnacentral:rRNA from 1 species